UUGAAUGGCGGAGCUACCAUGCAAGUCGUACGAGAAGGUUCCUUCGGGAACUGGAGAGUGGCGCACGGGUGAGUAACGCGUGGGGACCUACCUCUUAGUGGGGGAUAACGGUUGGAAACGACCGCUAAUACCGCAUACGCCCUUCGGGGGAAAGAUUUAUCGCUAAGAGAUGGACCCGCGUUGGAUUAGAUAGUUGGUGAGGUAACGGCUCACCAAGUCAGCGAUCCAUAGCUGGUUUGAGAGGAUGAUCAGCCACACUGGGACUGAGACACGGCCCAGACUCCUACGGGAGGCAGCAGUGGGGAAUAUUGGACAAUGGGCGCAAGCCUGAUCCAGCCAUGCCGCGUGAGUGAAGAAGGCCUUCGGGUUGUAAAGCUCUUUCAGAUGCGAAGAUGAUGACGGUAACAUCAGAAGAAGCCCCGGCUAAUUUCGUGCCAGCAGCCGCGGUAAUACGAAAGGGGCAAGCGUUGUUCGGAUUUACUGGGCGUAAAGGGCACGCAGGCGGUCCUGCCAGUCAGG
rnacentral:rRNA from 1 species